CAGGACUUCCACCCAGGAGACCGCGGUUCAUGUCCUGUUCUUGUCCCGCGUGUCACUGAAAGGGAAAUUUUAU